rnacentral:rRNA from 1 species
GACGAACGCUGGCGGCGUGCUUAACACAUGCAAGUCGAACGGAAAGGCCCUGCUUUUGUGGGGUGCUCGAGUGGCGAACGGGUGAGUAACACGUGAGUAACCUGCCCUUGACUUUGGGAUAACUUCAGGAAACUGGGGCUAAUACCGGAUAGGAGCUCCUGCUGCAUGGUGGGGGUUGGAAAGUUUCGGCGGUUGGGGGUGGACUCGCGGCUUAUCAGCUUGUUGGUGGGGUAGUGGCUUACCAAGGCUUUGACGGGAAGCCGGCCUGAGAGGGUGACCGGCCACAUUGGGACUGAGAUACGGCCCAGACUCCUACGGGAGGCAGCAGUGGGGAAUAUUGCACAAUGGGCGGAAGCCUGAUGCAGCAACGCCGCGUGCGGGAUGACGGCCUUCGGGUUGUAAACCGCUUUCGCCUGUGACGAAGCGUGAGUGACGGUAAUGGGUAAAGAAGCACCGGCUAACUACGU